GGGCCCGCACAAGCGGUGGAGUAUGUGGUUUAAUUCGAUGCAACGCGAAGAACCUUACCAGGGCUUGACAUCCUGCGAACCUCUGGGAAACCGGAGGGUGCCUUCGGGAACGCAGUGACAGGUGGUGCAUGGCUGUCGUCAGCUCGUGUCGUGAGAUGUUGGGUUAAGUCCCGCAACGAGCGCAACCCACGUCGUUAGUUGCCAGCAUUUAGUUGGGCACUCUAGCGAGACCGCCGGUGAUAAACCGGAGGAAGGUGUGGAUGACGUCAAGUCAUCAUGCCCCUUACAUCCUGGGCUACACACGUACUACAAUGCUACGGACAAAGGGCAGCAAACUCGCGAGAGCUAGCAAAUCCCAUAAAGUGCGUCGUAGUCCGGAUCGGAGUCUGCAACUCGACUCCGUGAAGUCGGAAUCGCUAG
rnacentral:rRNA from 1 species